rnacentral:lncRNA from 1 species
AUCACACAGGCAUCACUGCUUUGAAAAAUCAAUGAACAAGUUAAAAACUAGAACAAUUUGAUUAUUUCUUUUUCUUUGUACACCUUAUCUGGAUCAGAGCGGUGGAAAGACGAGGAGUCCCACUAUUAAUAGAUGAUGGACCAGAACGAGUUCCACGCCAAAUUAAAAACUGUGUGUGCUUAUUAUAUUUAUUUUGAAAACACGGGAAGAUCGAAAGGUUUCUCCGUAAUGUAAUGGAGGGAGGCGUGUGCUGGUUGAUAAUUAAGGUAUGGCCACUUUGUCAUUGUCAAUGCGUCAGAAUGGUGGUGGCAUCGGCCUGACAUUGAAAUUUCAAAGCACAUUUUACCUGUUGCUUGCUUGCUUGCUUGAUAGCAGCACUUUCUUUAUGAAGUCGGCAAGUAUGAAAUGGUAUGAAUCACGGCCUCCUUGUCACUGUCAAAUUUUGGACAAAUACCGGAAAGGGAAUCUGCUUUAAUUGAAAAAAAAAAGAGAGAGGAUACUGGAGUACUAUUUACUGUGAUCCCGUCAACAAAAUGCUGAUGAGAUAAUCAUAAUACGGGGUUAAUUCGAACUUGGGACGAAGUACUGAUAAUGAAGGGCCAACCAACUCAGUGAUUGGUGCAUUCCCAUUCCCUUUCAGGAAGUGUGGCUGGGAAUGGGAAAGUGAUAAUUUAGCAUUGCCCACAUGAAAGAGUUGCCCAUGAUGAAGAUGAACAUGAAGAUGAACUCGAUCCAACUCCAACAUUGAGAUGAGGACACACACCCCUAAGAAUCCAGAUCGAGGGACGCAUGUUAAAAGAGUUGCAGGGCUUUAGCUUUAAGAGAAGUAUAGACCAUAGCUGAAAUGCUUUGACUGCGUGUUUA